rnacentral:misc_RNA from 1 species
AAGAAGAAGAGUUUGAGGACUUGCCCCGCAACGCAAUGCAAUUAACUGGCUACAUAGGUGACCGGCAACAAACGUUUCCGCCUCGAAUGAUGGUGACUGGCAACAUGAUGCAGAUUUGGAUCUGUAAGGUUCCAUGCUUUUCUUCGUUAAUGAUUGGCAUUUGAGUUUUUGUAAAAAUUUUCAUUUGCUCUGAUUAGCAUUUGCCCUGGAUUUGGUUUCUUAAUAAAAA